UGGCAACAUGAGGAAAGUCCGAGCUCCGCAGAGCAGAGUGCCGGAUAACACCCGGUGAAGGUGACUUCAAGGAAAGUGCAACAGAAAUAAACCGCCCGCAAGGGUAAGGAUGGAAAGGCGAGGUAAGAGCUCACCGGCGACAUGGCGACUUGUCGGCCCUGUAAACCCCACUCGGAGCAAGAUUGGAAUGAGAGCAUUUAAUGGCUGCUCGUCACGCUCUCUGUAAUCGCUUGAGCGCACAGGUAACUAUGCGCCUAGAUAGAUGGUCGCACCAGACAGAACUCGGCUUAUUGCUU
rnacentral:RNase_P_RNA from 2 species